GACGAACGCUGGCGGCGUGCUUAACACAUGCAAGUCGAACGGAAAGGCCCUGCUUUUGUGGGGUGCUCGAGUGGCGAACGGGUGAGUAACACGUGAGUAACCUGCCCUUGACUUUGGGAUAACUUCAGGAAACUGGGGCUAAUACCGGAUAGGAGCUCCUGCUGCAUGGUGCGGGUUGGAAAGUUUCGGCGGUUGGGGAUGGACUCGCGGCUUAUCAGCUUGUUGGUGGGGUAGUGGCUUACCAAGGCUUUGACGGGUAGCCGGCCUGAGAGGGUGAACGGGCCCAAUGGGACCGAGAUCACGCCCCGACUGCUACCGGGAGCAAGCGUGGGGAAUUAUGCGCAAAGGGAGGAAGAGUCUGGUAGAGACGCUCUGUGUGGGAUAACAACCUUUUCGUAAUAUAAAGUUCUCGCAUGUGAGAAGACGUGAGUGACGGUACCGACAGAAGAAGCGACGGCUAACUACGUG
rnacentral:rRNA from 1 species